rnacentral:tRNA from 1 species
UUCCCUGUGGUCCAGUGGUUAGGAUUCUGCUCUUCCACUGCAGGGGGCACAGGUGUGAUCCCUGGUCAGGGAA